GCGGUGGUAGCUCAGCCCGGUUACGAGCGCUCCCCUGUCACGGGAGAGGUCGCGGGUUCAAAUCCCGUCCACCGCG
rnacentral:tRNA from 1 species